rnacentral:rRNA from 1 species
AUGAUCCGCCUCGUUUCCCGGCGGAAUCUCGUCGCCGCCACGGCCAUCCGAUGGUCCCCCGCCACGCUCGCUUCCAGGUGGCUGCACACGCCAACAUUUGUGAUGGUGAGGUCUCUGGUCAAGCCCAUGGGAAAUGCAGAAUUUCGCCAUUUUUGGAGAGUUUAUCUAUAUGCCCAAAGCAUGUACUUCACAACCCACUUGGAGCUCCAGAGAGAAAACAAUGAGUUGGGGCGCGGCAGGAAGGGGAGCAUCACCAGGGAGAAGAAAAUGUAUUGUGGGAAAAAGGACAGAGAUCCCCGAGCUUUUGCGAGAGGGGAUGGAGCGGCGGCUGCGUCGACCCGACCAGUUGCAAGUGGAUGGAGCGGUGGCUGCACGGACAUGCUCCUGGAGGUGCCGGUAUGCAGCCUCAUUUUGAGCCUGGGAGGAUCCUCGCCCUGUCCUGGCCUCAAGGGUGCUCAUCUACUUGUUAUCGUGCUCUGCAGUUAG